UACGGGGGGGGCAAGCGUUGUUCGGAAUUACUGGGCGUAAAGGGGACGUAGGCGGCCAACUACGUCCGCCGUGAAAUCCCAAGGCUUAACCUUGGAACUGCGUCGGAUACUGGAUGGCUUGAAUUCGGGAGAGGGAUGCAGAAUUCCAGGUGUAGCGGUGAAAUGCGUAGAUAUCUGGAGGAAUACCGGUGGCGAAGGCGGCAUCCUGGACCAUAACUGACGCUGAGGCGCGAAAGCUAGGGGAGCAAACGGG
rnacentral:rRNA from 1 species